rnacentral:rRNA from 1 species
AUUGAACGCUGGCGGCAGGCCUAACACAUGCCAGUCGAACGGUAACAGGAAGCAGCUUGCUGCUUCGCUGACGAGUGGCGGACGGGUGAGUAAUGUCUGGGAAGCUGCCUGAUGGAGGGGGAUAACUACUGGAAACGGUAGCUAAUACCGCAUAAUGUCGCAAGACCAACGAGGGGGACCUUCGGGCCUCUUGCCAUCGGAUGUGCCCAGAUGGGAUUAGCUUGUUGGUGGGGUAACGGCUCACCAAGGCGACGAUCCCUAGCUGGUCUGAGAGGAUGACCAGCCACACUGGAACUGAGACACGGUCCAGACUCCUACGGGAGGCAGCAGUGGGGAAUAUUGCACAAUGGGCGCAAGCCUGAUGCAGCCAUGCCGCGUGUAUGAAGAAGGCCUUCGGGUUGUAAAGUACUUUCAGCGGGGAGGAAGGGAGUAAAGUUAAUACCUUUGCUCAUUGACGUUACCCGCAGAAGAAGCACCGGCUAACUCCGUG